AGUGAACGCUGGCGGCAGGCUUAACACAUGCAAGUCGAACGGCAGCACAGUGAUAGCUUGCUCUUACGGGUGGCGAGUGGGGGACGGGUGAGGAAUACAUCCGAAUCUACUCUUUCGUGUGGGAUAACGUAGGGAAACUUACGCCAAUACCGCAUACCACCCUCGGGUGAAAGCAUGGGAACUUUGGACCUUGCGCGAUUGAAUUAGCCGAUGUCGGAGUGGCUAGUUGGCGGGGUAAAGGCCCACCAAGGCGGCGAUUCGUAGCCGGUCUGAGGGGAUGGUAGGCCACACUGGAGGGGGACCGCGGACCUGAGGCCUACGGGAGGCCGCAGUGGCGAAUGUUGGGCAAUGGGGGGAAGCCUGAUCCAGCGGUACCACGUGGGAGGAGAAGACCCUCGGGGUGGAAAGCCGUUCUGUGGGGAAAAAAAAGCAGUAGGUUAUUACCCAGCUGUUGUGACGGUAACGAAAGAAGAAGCACCGGCUAACUACGUG
rnacentral:rRNA from 1 species